CAGGGACCAAUUGUGCUGGAACUGGUGUACAACAAGGCCUCCGGGAUUGCUGGUUUCCGUGCAGAAUAAGCCUCAGAUGCUCCCGGUUCCAGUAAAGAUCCCCAUGGAACAGAUCGAGUCCGAGAAAAACAGUUCCCAGAGCCCGAGCAGAGAAAGGGCCGCUGGUUGGAGCUGUGCGUGCUGACCUGUCCCCAAAUAACUCUGACUCUCCAGACAGGAGUAUAACCCUGCGGCUCAGGAUCUCCUGCCCUUCCUCCCCUGCUUUCAACUACGCCCACAACGCCGUCCCUCAGCUAAAGAUAGAAAUGGAGUCAGACUACAACGAGACGGACACUGAGAAAGGGCUGAGAGACCCGGGCAACGAGACCACCUUAUAGCCCCCCCACUCUCUCCCCUCUCCCCCCGCCUGCCGGUAGCUUCACAAUCCAGCCAGUGUCUGGGCCAGCGUACAGCCCGCUCAGCACAGGCUGGGGUGCCACCGACCCACCACACC